CAAAUGGAAGGACGCCUCUUCAAAACCAACCACCAACUCAAACCACACAUCGAUCAUCGCUGUUCCUCGGUCAGUUUUGCUGCUUUGCAUCCUGCUUUUAUUAACUAACGUUUUGCUGUGCAAAUCCAUGCAAAACUGACUCAGCAGUGACUUCACCUCCAGCCGUGAUGAACCGUUUUGGGAACGUCUUUCUGGGCCUGUAUGAUGAUACAUUUAAUGUGGCACUUUUCAGCGACUCAGGCUAUUCGAAUGGUGUUUUCUAGGAACUAUUCUGUAGUUGUCUCUGUUCUGCAUCACUUUUUUCAAAUGACUCAAAAGAUGCUUGACUGGUGGUAUUAUCUGUUUUAAGUAUAAGACCCAAUCAGGUUGUAUUGUAACUAGAAGUCAGUCCUGGUCAGGUUGGGUUGUAACUGUAGAAGUCAGUCCCUGUCUGGUUGGGUUGUAGCUGUAGAAGUCAGUCCCUGUCUGGUUGUAACUGUAGAAGUCAGUCCCUGUCAGGUUGUAACUGUAGAAGUCAGUCCCUGUUGGGUUGUAACUGUAGAAGUCAGUCCCUGUCUGGUUGGGUUGUAACUGUAGAAGUCAGUCCCUGUCUGGUUGGGUUGUAGCUGUAGAAGUCAGUCCCUGUCUGGUCUGGUUGUAACUGUAGAAGUCAGUCCCUGUCUGGUUGGGUUGUAGCUGUAGAAGUCAGUCCCUGUCUGGUUGGGUUGUAACUGUAGAAGUCAGUCCCUGUCUGGUUGGGUUGUAACUGUAGAAGUCAGUCCCUGUCUGGUUGGGUUGUAGCUGUAGAAGUCAGUCCCUGUUGGGUUGUAACUGUAGAAGUCAGUCCCUGUCUGGUUGGGUUGUAACUGUAGAAGUCAGUCCCUGUCUGGUUGGGUUGUAGCUGUAGAAGUCAGUCCCUGUCUGGUUGGGUUGUAGCUGUAGAAGUCAGUCCCUGUCUGGUUGGGUUGUAGCUGUAGAAGUCAGUCCCUGUCUGGUUGGGUUGUAACUGUAGAAGUCAGUCCCUGGUCUGGUUGGGUUGUAACUGUAGAAGUCAGUCCCUGUCUGGUUGGGUUGUAGCUGUAGAAGUCAGUCCCUGUCUGGUUGGGUUGUAGCUGUAGAAGUCAGUCCUGGUUGGGUUGUAACUGUAGAAGUCAGUCCCUGUCUGGUUGGGUUGUAACUGUAGAAGUCAGUCCCUGUCUGGUUGGGUUGUAACUGUAGAAGUCAGUCCCUGUUGGGUUGUAGCUGUAGAAGUCAGUCCCUGUUGGGUUGUAACUGUAGAAGUCAGUCUCUGUCUGGUUGUAACUGUAGAAGUCAGUCCCUGUCUGGUUGGGUUGUAACUGUAGAAGUCAGUCCCUGUCUGGUUGGGUUGUAACUGUAGAAGUCAGUCCCUGUCUGGUUGUAGCUGUAGAAGUCAGUCCCUGUUGGGUUGUAACUGUAGAAGUCAGUCCCUGUUGGGUUGUAACUGUAGAAGUCAGUCCCUGUUGGGUUGUAACUGUAGAAGUCAGUCCCUGUCUGGUUGGGUUGUAGCUGUAGAAGUCAGUCCCUGUCUGGUUGGGUUGUAACUGUAGAAGUCAGUCCCUGUCUGGUUGGGUUGUAACUGUAGAAGUCAGUCCCUGUCUGGUUGGGUUGUAGCUGUAGAAGUCAGUCCCUGUUGGGUUGUAACUGUAGAAGUCAGUCCCUGUUGGGUUGUAACUGUAGAAGUCAGUCCCUGUCCUGGUUGUAACUGUAGAAGUCAGUCCCUGUCCUGGUUGUAGCUGUAGAAGUCAGUCCCUGUCCUGGUUGGGUUGUAACUGUAGAAGUCAGUCCCUGUCUGGUUGGGUUGUAACUGUAGAAGUCAGUCCCUGUCUGGUUGGGUUGUAGCUGUAGAAGUCAGUCCCUGGUCAGGUUGGGUUGUAACUGUAGAAGUCAGUCCCUGUUGGGUUGUAGCUGUAGAAGUCAGUCCCUGUCAGGUUGGGUUGUAACUGUAGAAGUCAGUCCCUGUUGGGUUGUAGCUGUAGAAGUCAGUCCCUGUCUGGUUGGGUUGUAACUGUAGAAGUCAGUCCCUGUUGGGUUGUAACUGUAGAAGUCAGUCCCUGUCUGGUUGGGUUGUAUCUGUAGAAGUCAGUCCCUGUCUGGUUGGGUUGUAACUGUAGAAGUCUGUCCCUGUCUGGUUGGGUUGUAGCUGUAGAAGUCAGUCCCUGUCUGGUUGUAACUGUAGAAGUCAGUCCCUGUUGGGUUGUAGCUGUAGAAGUCAGUCCCUGUCUGGUUGUAACUGUAGAAGUCGGUCCCUGUCUGGUUGGGUUGUAGCUGUAGAAGUCAGUCCCUGUCUGGUUGUAACUGUAGAAGUCAGUCCCUGUUGGGUUGUAGCUGUAGAAGUCAGUCCCUGUCUGGUUGGGUUGUAACUGUAGAAGUCAGUCCCUGUCUGGUUGGGUUGUAACUGUAGAAGUCAGUCCCUGUUGGGUUGUAGCUGUAGAAGUCAGUCCCUGUCUGGUUGGGUUGUAACUGUAGAAGUCAGUCCCUGUUGGGUUGUAACUGUAGAAGUCAGUCCCUGUCUGGUUGGGUUGUAACUGUAGAAGUCAGUCCCUGUCUGGUUGGGUUGUAACUGUAGAAGUCAGUCCCUGUCUGGUUGGGUUGUAACUGUAGAAGUCAGUCCCUGUCCUGGUCAGGUUGGGUUGUAGCUGUAGAAGUCAGUCCUGGUUGGGUUGUAACUGUAGAAGUCAGUCCCUGUCCUGGUCAGGUUGGGUUGUAGCUGUAGAAGUCAGUCCAGGUUGGGUUGUAGCUGUAGAAGUCAGUCCCUGUUGGGUUGGGUUGUAACUGUAGAAGUCAGUCCCUGUCUGGUUGUAACUGUAGAAGUCAGUCCCUGUCAGGUUGGGUUGUAACUGUAGAAGUCAGUCCCUGUCUGGUUGGGUUGUAACUGUAAAAGUCAGUCCCGGUCAGGUUGGGUUGUAACUGUAGAAGUCAGUCCCUGUUGGGUUGUAACUGUAGAAGUCAGUCCCUGUUGGGUUGUAACUGUAGAAGUCAGUCCCUGUCCUGGUUGUAACUGUAGAAGUCAGUCCCUGUCCUGGUUGUAGCUGUAGAAGUCAGUCCCUGUCCUGGUUGGGUUGUAACUGUAGAAGUCAGUCCCUGUCUGGUUGGGUUGUAACUGUAGAAGUCAGUCCCUGUCUGGUUGGGUUGUAGCUGUAGAAGUCAGUCCCUGGUCAGGUUGGGUUGUAACUGUAGAAGUCAGUCCCUGUUGGGUUGUAGCUGUAGAAGUCAGUCCCUGUCAGGUUGGGUUGUAACUGUAGAAGUCAGUCCCUGUUGGGUUGUAGCUGUAGAAGUCAGUCCCUGUCUGGUUGGGUUGUAACUGUAGAAGUCAGUCCCUGUUGGGUUGUAACUGUAGAAGUCAGUCCCUGUCUGGUUGGGUUGUAUCUGUAGAAGUCAGUCCCUGUCUGGUUGGGUUGUAACUGUAGAAGUCUGUCCCUGUCUGGUUGGGUUGUAGCUGUAGAAGUCAGUCCCUGUCUGGUUGUAACUGUAGAAGUCAGUCCCUGUUGGGUUGUAGCUGUAGAAGUCAGUCCCUGUCUGGUUGUAACUGUAGAAGUCAGUCCCUGUCUGGUUGGGUUGUAGCUGUAGAAGUCAGUCCCUGUCUGGUUGUAACUGUAGAAGUCAGUCCCUGUUGGGUUGUAGCUGUAGAAGUCAGUCCCUGUCUGGUUGGGUUGUAACUGUAGAAGUCAGUCCCUGUCUGGUUGGGUUGUAACUGUAGAAGUCAGUCCCUGUUGGGUUGUAGCUGUAGAAGUCAGUCCCUGUCUGGUUGGGUUGUAACUGUAGAAGUCAGUCCCUGUUGGGUUGUAACUGUAGAAGUCAGUCCCUGUCUGGUUGGGUUGUAACUGUAGAAGUCAGUCCCUGUCUGGUUGGGUUGUAACUGUAGAAGUCAGUCCCUGUCUGGUUGGGUUGUAACUGUAGAAGUCAGUCCCUGUCCUGGUCAGGUUGGGUUGUAGCUGUAGAAGUCAGUCCCUGUUGGGUUGGGUUGUAACUGUAGAAGUCAGUCCCUGUCUGGUUGUAACUGUAGAAGUCAGUCCCUGUCAGGUUGGGUUGUAACUGUAGAAGUCAGUCCCUGUCUGGUUGGGUUGUAACUGUAGAAGUCAGUCCCGGUCAGGUUGGGUUGUAACUGUAGAAGUCAGUCCCUGUCUGGUUGGGUUGUAACUGUAGAAGUCAGUCCCUGUCUGGUUGGGUUGUAACUGUAGAAGUCAGUCCCUGUCCUGGUUGGGUUGUAACUGUAGAAGUCAGUCCCUGUCCUGGUUGGGUUGUAACUGUAGAAGUCAGUCCCUGUUGGGUUGUAACUGUAGAAGUCAGUCCCUGUCUGGUUGGGUUGUAGCUGUAGAAGUCAGUCCUGGUUGGGUUGUAACUGUAGAAGUCAGUCCCUGUCUGGUUGUAACUGUAGAAGUCAGUCCCUGUUGGGUUGUAGCUGUAGAAGUCAGUCCCUGUCUGGUUGGGUUGUAACUGUAGAAGUCAGUCCCUGUUGGGUUGUAACUGUAGAAGUCAGUCCCUGUCUGGUUGGGUUGUAACUGUAGAAGUCAGUCCCUGUCUGGUUGGGUUGUAACUGUAGAAGUCAGUCCCUGUCUGGUUGGGUUGUAACUGUAGAAGUCAGUCCCUGUCUGGUUGGGUUGUAACUGUAGAAGUCAGUCCCUGUCCUGGUCAGGUUGGGUUGUAGCUGUAGAAGUCAGUCCUGGUUGGGUUGUAACUGUAGAAGUCAGUCCCUGUCCUGGUCAGGUUGGGUUGUAGCUGUAGAAGUCAGUCCCUGUUGGGUUGUAACUGUAGAAGUCAGUCCCUGUCAGGUUGGGUUGUAACUGUAGAAGUCAGUCCCUGUCCUGGUCAGGUUGGGUUGUAACUGUAGAAGUCAGUCCCUGUCAGGUUGGGUUGUAACUGUAGAAGUCAGUCCCUGUCUGGUUGGGUUGUAGCUGUAGAAGUCAGUCCUGGUUGGGUUGUAACUGUAGAAGUCAGUCCCUGUCUGGUUGUAACUGUAGAAGUCAGUCCCUGUCAGGUUGUAACUGUAGAAGUCAGUCCCUGUCAGGUUGUAACUGUAGAAGUCAGUCCCUGUUGGGUUGUAACUGUAGAAGUCAGUCCCUGUCAGGUUGUAACUGUAGAAGUCAGUCCCUGUCUGGUUGGGUUGUAACUGUAGAAGUCAGUCCCUGUCAGGUUGGGUUGUAGCUGUAGAAGUCAGUCCCUGUUGGGUUGUAACUGUAGAAGUCAGUCCCUGUCUGGUUGGGUUGUAGCUGUAGAAGUCAGUCCCUGUCUGGUUGGGUUGUAACUGUAGAAGUCAGUCCUGGUCAGGUUGGGUUGUAACUGUAGAAGUCAGUCCCUGUCAGGUUGGGUUGUAGCUGUAGAAGUCAGUCCCUGUCUGGUUGAGAUGUAGCUGUAGAAGUCAGUCCCUGUCUGGUUGGGUUGUAACUGUAGAAGUCAGUCCCUGUCUGGUUGGGUUGUAACUGUAGAAGUCAGUCCCUGUCCUGGUCAGGUUGGGAGGGGUGUCAGUGCUGUUACUCUGAAGGUAUUGCACUUGUCCCGGCCUGUUUAGGAUUGAGGAGAUGGUGCUCCUACUCUUUGAACCUGCUAAAGCAGUAAUUGCUUGAUGCAUGUUUGAAAUGAAUGAAUGAAACCUAUAUUUACCAAAAAUGAGACUUGUAUGUUUUCUGUCUCAUGAUUCUGUUUUUUUUCUAGAUUAGUUUUUAAUGAAUGAAGAGGUAAUUUUCUAAAUUGUAGAUUGAUUGUCAGAGCUUAAAUGUGUCCGUCCAUAUGGUGAGGAAUUGUUUCAUGCUGUGGUUUUGUCUCAAAUAAAGUUUCCAUGUAAAUUA